UCGAGAAUCUUCCGCAAUGGGCGAAAGCCUGACGGAGCGACACCGCGUGCAGGACGAAGGCCCUCGGGUUGUAAACUGCUGUCACGCUCUAGGAAUCCCAUGUCGUUAAUAGCGGCAUGGUUGACCAAGGCGAAAGGAAGUGGCGGCUAACUCUGUGCCAGCAGCCGCGGUAAGACAGAGGCCACGAACGUUGUUCGGAAUCACUGGGCAUAAAGCGCACGUAGGCGGCUAGGUCCGUCCGAUGUGAAAGCCCCCGGCUCAACCGGGGAAUUGCAUCGGAUACAGCCUGGCUUGAGGACGGUUGGGGUGAGUGGAACUCCUGGUGGAGCGGUGAAAUGCGUAGAUAUCUGGAGGAACACCGGUGGCGAAGGCGACAUCCUGGACCAAUUCUGACGCUGAGGAGCGAAAGCCAGGGGAGCAAACGGGAUUAGAUACCCCGGUAGUCCCUGAGCGGGCUGGCAAGGCGCAU
rnacentral:rRNA from 1 species